GGGUGGAUGCACCACAUAGGAUUCCCCACUUGCCGGGACAGGCUCUGCAAACCCUCGCUGUAACCGAGGCUCCCCAGUGACUGCAGAUCUGGAUGAUGCCCCACCCUGAACUUCAGAGACUUCUGCAGUUUGGGAAUACACUGAUACCAAGCUCUCCGUACUUCCUUCAGAAAUUACAAGUGAAGCUAAAUCUAUGCAAGUCACUUCACUGCAGGGUUAUCUGGUUUUAACUGGUAUCAUUGAUUUUACAGGAUUCUGGUGAAGGACAAGAUGUUUCUCUGGAUUGGUCGGAUGGGAGUCAGGAUCACUGGGUGGGUACAUGGCUUCACCCCCUGUCUCCAGAACAAUGGGAAUUUCCUUCAUGCUAAGCAGCAGCAGCAACUUUUUUCACCAACAACUUCCCCUUCCACCAUAGCAUCCUCCUGUCUUUCCUUAGUAAUGUCCAUGGCAGAUGAUUUUUUUAAACACAGGACACCUACUAAUGUGCUAGCCUUUAGCUAACAUAAGUACAGCGAUCUGAAAAGGCAAAUGCUAUACACACUACCUUAGAUAUACAUAUUAAGAAAAAGACCCAUCUCUCCCUUGCAUACUAACAAUGCCAUCUGCAAAUGUCAUCACAGUAUGUUCAAGAGUUGCAAAUUUUCCAGUUAAAUCAUGCUGAUAAUCUCUGACUCUGGGCAGGGAUGGCUGAAUACCUCUAAUUUGGAAAGUAUUAUUAGGCUCUUCUGAAAGAAGGCCAACUUCCAAGGAGCACAAUGAGCUUUGUUGGGGGCAUCUCAUGGAAGCAACAUUUCAGGGGUUAGGUCAGGGGGUUCUGUGUAGGUCAUAGAAAGUUAAAUUAGCUUGAUCUCACAUUCCUAACACACACACAACACCCCAAAGGCAAAAUGCAAGAAGCCACGUGCAGUCUACAUCUUGAAGAGCUGAGUGAAUGUGGCUGGAUAUAACUAACAGCAGAGUUUGGGCAAUGGAGUUUAACCAUUUGUAUCUGCUCCUAUUUGACAGCCAGUCAGAGACAUGAAUUUGGGAAAGAAUAUAUAAAUACAGAGUUUAUAAAUGCACAAACUGCCUACUUUCCCUACUGACUCAGUCAGAGUAAAUAUGUAUAACCCUCUAAUUCAGCUACUUCAGUUUCACAGCAUCCAGGCAUACCACAAAAAACUGAUCUUCCUCUGAAGGUUUGCCUUGGUUUUUUUUCUACCGCCAAAUUUUUGCUAUUAAAUGUUUACAAUGUUUUAUGCAGCUGUCUAAAGUACAAUGAACCAUAAUCUGUAGGACAGAUGCCCUAUAAAUUAAAUCUUAAAUGUGAGCUGGUAAGGGUCUGCAGAAUUUAGCCUUCGAGAUACAAUGUGGGCAGGAGCUUACGAAAUGCAAA